AUCAUACUCCCUCCGUCCGGAAUUACUUGUCGCAGAAAUGGAUAAAAAUGGAUGUAUCUAGAACUAUAAUAUAUCUAGAUACAUCCAUUUCUCCGACAAGUAUUUCCGGAUGGAGUGUUGUUUUAU
rfam:Triticum aestivum genome assembly, contig: Triticum_aestivum_CS42_TGACv1_scaffold_622235_7DS